rnacentral:rRNA from 1 species
UAAGGGGGUGAAUCCCAGGGCUCAACCCUCGGAACUGCCUCUUAAUACUCGCUCGGUCUUGAGUUCGAGAGAGGUGAGUGGAAUUCCGAGUGUAGAGGUGAAAUUCGUAGAUAUUCGGAGGAACACCAGUGGCGAAGGCGGCUCACUGGCUCGAUACUGAC